UCACCGAUGUCAUACGCUUUAUUCGGUCUUCCCUUCCUCUUCCCAAAGACCUAAAGUCCAACUCCAAACAUUGAACGACGACUGUCAAGACUCAAUCGACGAUCGACUAGCAUGCAGUAGAAAUCGACCAUCGACUCAAUCGACGACGACUGGAGAGUGGAUAUUGACGACGUCGACGAGUCAGUCAAUUACUCAAUCAGCGAUUUCUCCACCAAAAACGCGACCGCCGACUGUGACUUCACGAUUUCGAUUUCUCGCCUCCCAGUUGACUUCUCCACCAGAAAUCGGAGUUAAGUUAUUUAAAAUCUGAAUUUAAGGUUUGCAGUUUGCUGUUUCUCGCCUCUCAAUUUCUGUAUCUCAACGUCGAGUAUUCACAGUUCGACUGCUAGUCUGCGACUACUCCACCUAAGACGCGACUGUGAGUCUGUGACUUCAAGAUUUCUGUUUCUCGCAUCCCAGUCGACUUCUCCACCAGAAAUCGGAAAUAAGUAAUAUAGUCAUGUGUAUUUUGACUUUUUGUGGUUUUUUGUUGACUGUUGUUGACUGCUAGUUUGUUGUUCACUAUAUUUCAUGAUAUACUCAUGUUUAUUUUGAUUGGUUGCAAAUCUGAAUUUGUUCACUGCUCACUGUAAUAUAGUCAUGUUUACAUAUUGUAGUUGUUCACUAUAUUUCAUGAUAUACUCAUGUUUACAUAUUGUAGUUGUGUAAAGAUUGUAGUUGUGUAAAGAUUUUAGUUGUGUACAGGUUUUAUAGUGGUUGUUUACAAAUUUUGGGAUCUUACUGUAGUUAUUUACAGAGUGUAGUUGUGUAUAGAUUUUGCUAUUUCUAUGAAAAAAUAAUGCUGAUUAGUAUAUUUGUGUGAACCAUUUUCAGAUUUUUUUAGUUAUGUCUUCAGCGGAGCCGAAUCAACCCAAUGAUUCAACCACGGUUAAUGAUACCGCCAAUUCUGCAGUUAACUAUAGCGAGAAACAAAUGAAAUUUAUAUCUCUAAUGUGACGUCAUUUCACCUAUGAAGAAGUUAAUGGAACCAAAAUGGCGGUUUGUAAGUAUUGUAGAAAGGAAAUUACUUAUACAACCAAAAAUGGAACCAAAGGGAUGCAUUCUCACCAUAAGUCAUGCAAAAAAUAUAUGAAUGAAUUUGCUUGAACCAUUGUUUGUUUUUUUCAUUUUAAUAUAUUUUUCUUAUUACCUUUAUUUUUUUUCUUGGUUAGGUUGUGUUAUUGAUGGUGAUGAUUUACAUUCCGAUGAAGACGACGAGGGAAUUGAGGGAGGAUAUUCAAAUGUCAAUGAAUGAAGGGUUGAAGGAAAUUAAUGGAUAUUGAAGAUGUAGGACAUGUUGGUAUUUUAUAUUUGUAAUUUUGGAUUUGUCGUAUUUUGCAUUUGUAGUAUUGGAUUUAUCUUUGUAAGAUUGUUGGAAUUGGUGUUUUGUAAUGUUAGAUUCAUAAUGUUGGAUUUUUAAUUUUUUUUUUUGUUUCUAAAAGAUCAGGUUUUAAGUUUU